UUGGGGGGUGUGGGGAAUGUUUUUUGAUUGGUUGCUUGUUUUCUUUUUUUGUUUUCUGCAGGAUCAUUUCCACUGCAUCCUCUGUCUUAUUGUGAUUGGGAAGGAGAGGAAAGGGUAGGAUGAAAAAAAGUACACGGAGCCAUUUUUGCUGUGGGAACAAAGAUUUUCACUCGCUGGGCUGAAGAUGGUGUCUAGAUGAGAGUGAGAAUUGGUACAGCUUAGCCACAACAGAGCAAAGUGCAAAGGAGCUUCAGAAGCUCAGGCAAUGGGGAAUUUGUUGUCAUCUUUGCUGAAAGUCUGCCAGGUAA